UACAGAGGUCCCGAGCGUUGUUCGGAUUCACUGGGCGUAAAGGGCGCGUAGGUGGUGAGGUAAGUCGGAUGUGAAAUCUCCGGGCUCAACCCGGAAAUGGCAUUGGAAACUACCUUGCUGGAGGAUUUGAGGGGGGAUUGGAAUACUUGGUGUAGCAGUGAAAUGCGUAGAUAUCAAGUGGAACACCAGUGGCGAAGGCGAAUCCCUGGAAAAUACCUGACACUGAGGCACGAAAGCUAGGGGAGCAAACAGG
rnacentral:rRNA from 1 species